UGGGGAAUAUUGGGCAAUGGAGGAAACUCUGACCCAGCAACGCCGCGUGAAUGAUGAAGGUCUUCGGAUUGUAAAGUUCUUUUCUAAGGGACGAAGAAAGUGACGGUACCUUAGGAAUAAGCCCCGGCUAACUACGUGCCAGCAGCCGCGGUAAUACGUAGGAGGCAAGCGUUAUCCGGAAUGACUGGGCGUAAAGGGUGCGUAGGUGGUUUGGCAAGUUGGCGGCGUAACUCCGAGGCUCAACCUCGGAACUACCGCCAAAACUGUUGAACUUGAGUGCAGGAGGGGCAAUCGGAAUUCCUAGUGUAGCGGUGGAAUGCGUAGAUAUUAGGAGGAACACCAGUGGCGAAGGCGGAUUGCUGGACUGUAACUGACACUGAGGCACGAAAGCGUGGGGAGCAAACA
rnacentral:rRNA from 1 species